GACGAACGCUGGCGGCGUGCUUAACACAUGCAAGUCGAACGGAAAGGCCCUGCUUUUGUUGGGUGCUCGAGUGGCGAACGGUUGAGUAACACGUGAGUAACCUGCCCUUGACUUUGUGAUAACUUCAGGAAACUGGGGCUAAUACCGGAUAGGAGCUCCUGCUGCUUGUUGGGGGUUGGAAAGUUUCGGCGGUUGGGGAUGGACUCGCGGCUUAUCAGCUUGUUGGUGUGGUAGUGGCUUACCAAGGCGUUGACGGGUCGCCGGCCUGAGAGGGUGACAGGCCACAGUGGGACUGAGAUACGGCCCAGACUCCUACGGGAGGCAGCAGUGGGGAAUAUUGCACAAUGGGCGGAAGCCUGAUGCAGCAACGCCGCGUGCGGGAUGACGGCCUUCGGGUUAUAAACCGCUUUCGCCUGUGACGAAGCGUGAGUGACGGUAAUGGGUAAAGAAGCACCGGCUAACUACGUG
rnacentral:rRNA from 1 species